AGAGUUUGAUCAUGGCUCAGAACGAACGCUGGCGGCAGGCUUCAUACAUGCAAGUCGAACGGUAAGGUCCCUUCGGGGGCCCUAGAGUGGCGAACGGGUGAGUAACGGGUGGAUAAUCUGCCCUUCGGUGGGGGAUAACGGCUGGAAACGGCCGCUAAUACCGCAUUCGAUUGUUUGGGCUUUAGGCUCGAACAAGGAAAGGCGCUGCAAGGCGUCGCCGGAGGAUGAGUCCGCCUCCCAUUAGCUAGUUGGCGGGAUAACAGCCCCCCAAGGCUUCGAUGGGUAGCCGAGCUGAGAGGUUGGCCGGCCACACUGGGACUGAGACACGGCCCAGACACCUACGGGUGGCAGCAGUAGGGAAUCUUGGACAAUGGGCGCAAGCCUGAUCCAGCCAUGCCGCGUGGGCGAUGAAGGUCUUCGGAUCGUAAAGCCCUUUUCUCGGGGAAGAACCGCCUUUGGAGGAAAUGCCUUAGGUCUGACGGUACCCGAGGAAUAAGCAACGGCUAACUCCGUGCCAGCAGCCGCGGUAAUACGGAGGUUGCAAGCGUUGUUCGGAAUGACUGGGCGUAAAGGGAGCGCAGGCGGCUUGUUAAGUCUGGAGUGAAAGCCCGGGGCUCAACCCCGGCGGGUCUUCGGAUACUGGCAAGCUAGAGUACGGAAGAGGAAGCGGAAUUCCAGGUGUAGCGGUGAAAUGCGUAGAUAUCUGGAGGAACACCGGUGGCGAAAGCGGCUUUCUGGUCCGAUACUGACGCUCAGGCUCGAAAGCGUGGGGAGCAAACGGGAUUAGAUACCCCGGUAGU
rnacentral:rRNA from 1 species